rnacentral:lncRNA from 1 species
ACGCCUUGAUCAACAACUUGUAAGUAAUUAAACAUCACUUUUAUAUAAUGAAGUAAUUUGUAUUAUAAACUAUAGUGUGUAACUAAUUUGUAUUAUUUUGUUUAUGAUUUUAACGAAUAGAGAAAAGACACCCAAGCCAAUCAACCCUUGGGUCGUCAUAUAUUGUGGAAGGAAGCGCGUGUUAAUAAAGAAGGAGUGGUUGAUAAUGAAAAUGUCAAGAAAGUUGUAGAACUUUGUGUAAGUAUAUUAUCACUUUAAUAUUUUUUAAGAUUGUAUUUUAAAAAUGCUAUUGAACUUAUCUUUUUAAUGUUACAUGUAAUUUAGGAAAUUAUUGAACAAAGUUCUGAAAAUCCGGAGGGCAACAAGGAUACUUGCAGGGACAUUCUUGAGAAAGUGUUUAAUGUCCCUGAGUAUUCCGGUCGAGUUAGGGGGAAAGGAUUUGGCGUAACUCCCAAAAGCUUUUUUCCUCAAGAGAAGCGCCAAAAACCUUCCAACGAGGAAGUAUUAGAGAAGCUCAGAAUCCUAUCGGAGCAAGUGGCACUCUUGG